GACGGAGGGUGCUAGCGUUGUUCGGAAUCACUGGGCGUAAAGGGCGCGUAGGCGGCCUUGGAAGUCGGAUGGGAAAGCCCGGGGCUCAACCCCGGAACGGCAUCCGGGACUCUGAGGCUGGAGGCCGGAAGAGGAGGGUGGAAUACCCAGUGUAGAGGUGAAAUUCGUAGAUAUUGGGUGGAACACCGGUGGCGAAAGCGGCUCUCUGGUCCGGACCUGACGCUGAGGCGCGAAAGCGUGGGGAGCAAACAGGAUUAGAAACCCCCGUAGUCC
rnacentral:rRNA from 1 species